UACGUAGGGUGCAAGCGUUAAUCGGAAUUACUGGGCGUAAAGCGUGCGCAGGCGGUUGUGCAAGACCGAUGUGAAAUCCCCGGGCUCAACCUGGGAAUGGCAUUUGGGACUGCAAGGCUGGAGUACGGCAGAGGAGACUGGAAUUCCUGGUGUAGCAGUGAAAUGCGUAGAUAUCGGGAGGAACACCGGUGGCGAAGGCGGGUCA
rnacentral:rRNA from 1 species